UCCAAGCACUUGGCAUUGAUCAGCAAUCUUAGCAGUUCUGUGAGAACAGAGGUUACAGCUGUCACAGGAAGUCGAAACCAAGGCUGCCGGAAUCACACCCCUUCCGAGGUAGGUGAAAGUGUACACUGAGCAGAAUUCAGGCCCGGGAGGUGGGGGUGGCAGAGCUGGCAGGUGGAGAAGGGCGGGAUGCUGUACAAGAGAAAAUACCCACAGGGAAGAAGAGUGGAUGUAUCCCUGGAACUCAGGGUUGAUUUAGAGACCUGCAGGGGCUUAUCGCUAAACCGCUGCAUCAGUUACACCCAGCUAGGUAUCAUGAGGGACCCAAAGAAGCUUCAUUUGGAGUCCCUGUCCUUAACAACCUUAUAGUCCAUCUGGCUUCACAAGAUACACACCAAAGAAAAGGCAGAAAAGACGAGAGGGCGAAUUUGAGGGAAAGAUCAAAGCUGGCACCACCCAGCUGACUUUUCAGACCUGGAAGGAUCUCUUCUACUCAGCUGGGAUUACUUGGAUGGACGUCAUUUUUGCCCAAGCAUUUCUUCUUUGCUACCACCUUUUGAUCCCUUGCUAUGUGCCAAGCACUGUACUAACUGUAUUAUCUCAUUCCCUCCCCUUGGCAACUCUGAGACAUUACAGUCUCAGAGAGGAUAAGCAAUUUCCCAAGAUCGCACAUUAUAUAUGGCAGAAGGGGGAUAGGAAAUUCUCCCAGGUCCCGUGUUUUUAGAUUCUUCUUAAAUAAAAAAGUUUUAAAAAUUAACUAUUUGCUCACUGUUGUUAAUCUUGCACAGAUCCUUUUGAAGAAAAUGGUAAUUGAGAACAAACACGCCCAACAUCACCAUGCUUUUUUUUACUCAGUGGGAAGGAGUGAACAGGGCCCUGGUGUAUUGCUGGUGAGAGUGUAAAUAAGGUGACACUUUUCUGGAAAGCAGUCUGGCCAUUUGAAUCAAGAGCUUUAAAAAUUGUCUCUACCCUUUAAUGAGGAAAUGGGCACCCUCUAGGGAGAUAGCGAUAGCUAGCAACAUAAAAUGUAAAAGCUGUCUAUGUGAAAGACCCAUUCCCUGUGACCCAGCAGUUCCACUUAAAGAAAACUGUUGUACAAUGGAUGUAAUAGCACAUAGUCAAAAAGGUGUAUUUGUAAGGGCGUUCAUUACUGCAUUGCUCCUAUAGCAAAAGAUGGGGAAGAGCUUAAAAAGUAUCAAUAGAAUUGAUGAGUUUAAUUAUAUGCAAUGUUUUAGAAAACGAGGCAGUUCCUGUUUUAUAUAUAGAACAAUCAUCAAGAAAUAUUAAGAGAGAAAACUGCAAAAGUAUGUAUCUGUUGUGCUACUAUUUCUGUAUGUAUAAGAAAUAUAUGUGUGUGUGUGUUUUUCUAUGAAAGAUAUACAAGAAACCAGGUAAUAAUAAUGUUGCCUUUGAGAAGGAAAACCACAGCUGAGGGACCACGUCGGAGAAAGACAUUUGUUUCAUUGUGUAACCUUCAGUACCUCAUAUGUACACAUUAGCACCAUGUGUACAUAUAAGCAAUUCAAAAUUCAACUUUAAAAAAUAAAUUCACUAAAAUCCUACCUCUAGAUCCAGUAAUUCUCCUUUCAAGAAUCUAGCUGAAGGAACUGUUGGAUUUCAUACAAGGAUUUAUACAAAAGCAUAUUCACUGAGGUGUUAUCAUAGUGAAAAAAAAUGAAGGCAACUCAAAAGUCCAACAACAGAGGAAUAGCUAAGAAAAUUAUGGUAUGUACACAUACCACUGAUCACAAAAUCAUAAAAAGAAUGUUACAAAAAUAUUUUGGUGAAACAGGAAAAUGCUUAUAACUGUAAGUAGAAACAAAACACAAAGAAAUAGAAUAUUAUCUAUGCAGUAUGAUCUGAUCACCCUAA